rnacentral:rRNA from 1 species
AUGGAGGCGACGGGGGUGAGCUUGGGGAAGGCCGCGCUGGGCGGCGCACUGGGCUAUGCCACGUCCAAGGCGGCGGAGGAGAUCGCGCUGCAGCUCGGUGUCGAGCGCGAUGUGAACUUCAUCAGGGACGAACUGCAGAUGAUGCAGUCGUUCCUGAUGACGGCCGAUGAGGAGCAAAGCCAAAAUAAGGUGCUUGCCACCUGGGUGAACCAGAUCGGGGCCCUGGCCUACAAAGUGGAGGACAGCCUAAUGGACUUCGGCCUCCACUCGGAGAAAAAGCCUUUUUGGGGGUGCAUCCCCCGCAACCCAGGUGACCGACGCCGCAUCGCCAAGGAGGUGAAGCAGCUGAGGGCUGAGGUGGAGGACGUGAGCAACAGGAACCUGCGCUAUCGGCUCAUCAAGGAGAGCUCAGCCUCCAAGCCUACCGUGGCAGAGGAGCAGGCCAGCAUCGCCGGCGCUGCAAUGUUUGGCAUCAACGAAGCAAGGUUUGCUACCCUAGAGCAUGAAAAAUCAUCAGAGGUGGACCUCCACCAGCUAAUUACGAGGAACGAUGUGAAUCUUAGGGUGAUCGCCAUGUGGGGAACCAGCAGUGAUCUCGGGAAGACGUCUGCCAUCCAGAAGGUUUAUGAUGACCCAAAGGUAUUGAAAAUGUUUGGAUUCUGUGCUUGGAUAAGGUUGAUGCAUCCUUUCAGUCCACAAGAGUUCCUCAGGAGCUUGGUAUGGCAAUUUUAUGGAAAUUACCAUGAUGAGGUCGGAAAGCCUGAACAAGAAAGAAGAGUUGGGGCUGAAAUUCUGGCCAACAUGGAGAAGAUGGAUCAAAGAGAUUUAGCCCGUAUGUGUAAUGUGGAGUUGUGUAGGAACAGCUACCUGGUUGUCAUAAAUGACCUGGUCACCAUAGAAGAGUGGCAUUUCAUUAAGAAGUUAUUUCCUGACAACAAGAAACAUAGUAGAAUCAUCGUUUCCACGCAGCAAGCUGAAAUUGCAAGCUUGUGCACAGAGAACCCAUACCAAGUUUCGGAGUUGGAGCAGUUGUCAUGUGAUCAAACAAUUUAUUUGUUCCACACAAAGUUGCAGAAUUCAAAACAGCAGACCAGUAUGGAUGGUGUUCGUGUGGCAAUGCAUGACACCAACGACAAAGCAAGGCUUGCUACGUCAGAGGAGAAACCGAAGGCUAUGCAUGCAUCAUGUUCUGCUGAGCCUAUAUCCGACUCAAACAUAGUUACUACUACCAAGAAGAAUACAUCAAUGUCCACCGGUGAAAUACAGGAGGAAGACCAAGAACCUAAUAAUGCAGGUGCUGAAAAAGCUCAUAACCCAACUGUUAGAAAGAAGGUUGAUCGCAGCAGGACACUGACACUGGCUGAUGGACUGCUCUGUGGGCGAGAAACAGAGAAAUCUUUUGUUAUCAAGUUAGUGGGCCAACCAGACCACAAUCAAGGCCGUAAGGUGAUUUCAGUUUGGGGAAUGGGGGGUCUUGGAAAAACCACUCUUGUCCGAAGCAUCUACCGAAACCAAGAGCUUGGUGGCUGGAAGCGUGCUUGGGCCACUGCAUUGCGUCCUUUUAACCCUGAAGUACUCCUUAGAGAUUUGGCUUGGCAGCUUCAGAAUACUGUUCAAGAAGAUCCUGCUCGAGCAACAACAACUGGCGUGCAGAAGAAAAACGUAUCAGGGAUGAAACUUCAAGAGUUGAAGCAGGAGCUAGCUCGGCUACUAACAGAAAAAAAGUGCCUUAUUGUUCUUGAUGAUAUAUCGUCCACUUCUGAAUGGGAGUUGGUCAAACAGUGCUUAGAUAAUGCUGAACGGAUCAUAGUCACCACAAGAGAAAAAAAGAUUGCCGAACAUUGUUCAAGAGAAGUCAGGAACAUGUACCCUCUUGGAGUUCUGAAAUAUGACGAGGCACUUGACCUGUUCAUAAAGAAGGUAUUCAAAGACAAUAUUGUAAAAACUGAUUUAGCCCCAGCUAUAAUGGAACAAGCAAGAGUUACCCUGCAAAAAUGUGGUGGACUUCCCCUUGCAAUAACGACCAUCGGUGGAUUCCUAGCCACUAAGCCAAAAACUGCGAUUGAAUGGAGAAAAAUGAAUGAGUGUAUUAGCUCUGAACUGGAGAUAAAUCCUGAACUUAUGACAAUAAAGUCAAUUCUUAUGAGGAGCUACGAUGGUCUACCAUACCAUCUCAAGUAUGCUUUCUUGUACCUGUCCAUAUUUCCAGAAGACCACCGAAUUAGGUGGGGUCGCUUGAUGAGACGGUGGAUUGCAGAGGGUUACUCAAGGGAUAUGCUUGGCAUCACUGCAGCUGAACUUUGUCGGAGGUACUUUGAUGAGCUUUUGGAUAGGAGUAUGAUCCUUCCAGGGGAAGGGAUAGACCAAUACAAACAGAAAAUCAAUUCUUGCCAACUUCAUGAUAUGAUCCGUGAAAUAUGUGUCUCAAAGGCUAGGGAGGAAAACCUUGUUUUCACACUGGAGGAAAGAUGUUGUUUGAGCAAGACACAAGGUGCAAUACGCCAUCUUGUCAUAGGCAGCAACUGGAAAAGGGACAAAGAUGUGCUGGAGAGCAUGCUAGACUUGUCACACGUACGGUCAUUGACCGUGUUUGGAGAGUGGAGAUCGUUUUUCAUCUCCGAAAAUAUGAGGUUUGUGCGAGUGCUUGACUUAGAAGACACACUGGGGUUAAGAGAUCAUCAUCUUGAUCAAAUCGGGCAGCUCCGUCACCUCAAGUACCUUUCUUUUCGAGGAUGUUGCAACAUUUUCUGCCUGCCUAAUUCUUUCGGGAAUUUGAGGCACCUCGAAACACUGGAUGUUAGAGGUACACGCAUAUCUGAGUUGCCAACAAUAAUCACCGAUCUUCGGAAGCUACAAAACCUUCAUGCAGAUGAUUAUGUGGACCGUUUUGGUGUUAGGGUAGAGGAUGACAUAGUUGAUAAGUAUCAAGGUUACAUUGAUCGUAUUUCCACAGGUAAAAGAUGCAGCGUUUUGUUGUCUAGCAGUCAUGUUUUCUUGAGACCACAAGUAUUAGAUGCCGGUUUGAACAGGUAUGAUAUAUUCAAUCUAUACCGCUUCCAGGAGAGGAACCUAGAUGGCAUUAUUCUUCCUAAAGGGAUUGGUAAAUUGAAGGCCCUUCAUGCCCUAGGUGCUGUUGAUGUUUCCGGGAGAAAUGGAAAUGCCACUGUAAAAGAGUUUGGAGAGCUUACUCAGCUACGUAAGCUUAAAGUGGGUGGUCUGAGCUACAGAAACAUCAAUGAGUUAUGGUCUGCCAUUGCUGAUCAUAAUCAACUUCAAUCUUUAUCAGUUGAAAUAGGUGACCCGAAUGAAGAUAGGAAUGAGUUAGAUGGCUGUUUUGGUGAGGGUUUGUUGCCACCCAGCAGCCUGGAGAACCUUGCUCUGCAUGGUAAGCUAGUCAAUGUAACAGAAUGGAUCCAUAGGCUUCAAAAUCUCUCCAAGUUGGUGUUAAAACGUAGCAGAUUGGAGCAAGAUGAUGCCAUACAAGCCAUCGGGGUCCUACCAAAUAUAGCGGUACUACGCCUGCAAUUUAACUCGUUCAUGGGGGCACAACUCCAUUUCCAGGGGUCAUCUUUCCCGAGCCUCUUGGUGCUGUGGUUCGAUAGAUUAGAUAAACUACGGUCGGUGUUGUUUGAAGAAGGCACAAUGCCCAAGCUUGAGCUGCUACAAAUUGGUGUGUGCACAGAGCUGAAGGUCAUCUCCGGGCUGCCAGCCCUCAAAAGCCUCAAAGAAAUUCAGUUGCCUAAAAAUGGUGACAGUUAUUUCAAUGAAAUAUUAGAGGUGCAGAAAGAUGGUUACAGAUAUUACAGUAAAAUAUUUGAGGUGCAGAGGGAGCAGGUUGAGAGACAGGUAGCGGAGCACGUGAGAGUGAACAUUGUUGACUGA